rnacentral:rRNA from 1 species
UACGAAGGGGGCUAGCGUUGUUCGGAAUUACUGGGCGUAAAGCGCGCGCAGGCGGUUCUCCAAGUCAGUGGUGAAAGCCCGGAGCUCAACUCCGGAACUGCCAUUGAAACUGUUGAACUUGAGGACGAGAGAGGUGAGUGGAAUUCCCAGUGUAGAGGUGAAAUUCGUAGAUAUUGGGAAGAACACCGGUGGCGAAGGCGGCUUACUGGCUCGUUUCUGACGCUCAGGCGCGACAGCGUGGGGAUCAAACAGG